CUGCAAGUUCAACAUCACAUCCACCAAGGAAGAAAAGGAAGCAACAGAGUGUAACAUGGUCCACCAUGCUAGCCCAUGGCGUCUGCACAUCUGCUCUGUAGCACAGCCAAGAAGGAACAGAGAGGAAUGGAGAAAGGGGAAGUGGUUAUCUCUUUCCUGACUUGUAAAGGUAUUGAAUUACCAAUUAACAUUUCAAAAGGGUAAAGCUUAUCCCACUGUAAGAAAAGCAAACAUGAGCUUGGUCACAUGACC